AUCCGUAGCUCAGCUGGAUAGAGCGCUGCCCUCCGAAGGCAGAGGUCACAGGUUCGAAUCCUGUCGGGUCC
rnacentral:tRNA from 1 species